UGCCAGCCUCCCCUCGUCCUUGUCCCUGCACCCCUGCUGCCGGCAGCGCUUUCCUUGGGGAGCACCUUCAGAGCUCCUGCAUGGGAACUUCACACAAGCCCCUCAGAAAGCCGAAGCAGUGUUUAAUCCCUAGGAAGAGGGCAGUUGGUGUGUGCAGAUAAGGCGAAGGAGCAAUCUGGGCCUGAGCAGAGCAAAGUUGCUACGUCCUGAACUUUCUCACAAGCAUGUCUUUAGGCAAAUUGGGAAGGAGAUGGGCGGGGAGUGGCCAACCAGUGAAAUAAAAUGCUGGUUCCUGUCAUCAGCGUUGCAGGGCUCCUGGCUCCACACAGGGCAUCUCCUGGCUACUUUUCAGAAUAACCAGAAAGAAAGUGCAGAGCUGUGGGAGUGAAGGACUUGAGCUGUUACUGACCCACCAGUCUGCAUUUUCUACAUAAUAUUUGCUUGGGCCUUGAAGUAAAGUGAAGGGGUUUUGUUGUUGUUGUUGUCACUGCAAGCUUGAUUGGCCUUUUCAAAAACGAAGAGGAAAUGUUGCUGGAAAAUUUACAUUUGAACUACAUUUAGAAAUGUAUGUGUAAGGGAUUGUAAUGAUUUGUUUCAAGAGAAUUUACCUGGGAAAUACAAUCCUCAUUCAUGAAUACCAAGAGAAAAAAAUAAUGUUUCCAAGCAGAAUCUCACGUGUAUUUUAAUACUUUACUCAUUGGUACUGGCAUCUCACUGGUUUAUAAUAAAUAAGAAGGGCUGGGAGAGCUUCUUGAAGC